CGUGAGGGAAAGGCGAAAAGAACCCCGGCGAGGGGAGUGAAAAAGAACCUGAAACCGUGUACGUACAAGCAGUGGGAGCACGCUUAGGCGUGUGACUGCGUACCUUUUGUAUAAUGGGUCAGCGACUUAUAUUCUGUAGCAAGGUUAACCGAAUAGGGGAGCCGAAGGGAAACCGAGUCUUAACUGGGCGUUAAGUUGCAGGGUAUAGACCCGAAACCCGGUGAUCUAGCCAUGGGCAGGUUGAAGGUUGGGUAACACUAACUGGAGGACCGAACCGACUAAUGUUGAAAAAUUAGCGGAUGACUUGUGGCUGGGGGUGAAAGGCCAAUCAAACCGGGAGAUAGCUGGUUCUCCCCGAAAGCUAUUUAGGUAGCGCCUCGUGAAUUCAUCUCCGGGGGUAGAGCACUGUUUCGGCAAGGGGGUCAUCCCGACUUACCAACCCGAUGCAAACUGCGAAUACCGGAGAAUGUUAUCACGGGAGACACACGGCGGGUGCUAACGUCCGUCGUGAAGAGGGAAACAACCCAGACCGCCAGCUAAGGUCCCAAAGUCAUGGUUAAGUGGGAAACGAUGUGGGAAGGCCCAGACAGCCAGGAUGUUGGCUUAGAAGCAGCCAUCAUUUAAAGAAAGCGUAAUAGCUCACUGGUCGAGUCGGCCUGCGCGGAAGAUGUAACGGGGCUAAACCAUGCACCGAAGCUGCGGCAGCGACGCUUAUGCGUUGUUGGGUAGGGGAGCGUUCUGUAAGCCUGCGAAGGUGUGCUGUGAGGCAUGCUGGAGGUAUCAGAAGUGCGAAUGCUGACAUAAGUAACGAUAAAGCGGGUGAAAAGCCCGCUCGCCGGAAGACCAAGGGUUCCUGUCCAACGUUAAUCGGGGCAGGGUGAGUCGACCCCUAAGGCGAGGCCGAAAGGCGUAGUCGAUGGGAAACAGGUUAAUAUUCCUGUACUUGGUGUUACUGCGAAGGGGGGACGGAGAAGGCUAUGUUGGCCGGGCGACGGUUGUCCCGGUUUAAGCGUGUAGGCUGGU
rnacentral:rRNA from 1 species